UACAGAGGGGGCAAGCGUUGUUCGGAAUUACUGGGCGUAAAGGGCGCGUAGGCGGCCAUCUAAGUCGAACGUGAAAUCCCCGGGCUCAACCCGGGAACUGCGUCCGAUACUGGUUGGCUUGAAUCCGGGAGAGGGAUGCGGAAUUCCAGGUGUAGCGGUGAAAUGCGUAGAGUAUCUGGAGGAACACCGGUGGCGAAGGCGGCAUCCUGGACCGGCAUUGACGCUGAGGCGCGAAAGCCAGGGGAGCAAAGCGGG
rnacentral:rRNA from 1 species